AGUAACACGUGGGUAACCUGCCUUAUAGUGGGGGAUAGCCUUUCGAAAGGAAGAUUAAUACCGCAUAAGAUUGUAGUAUCGCAUGAUAUAGCAAUUAAAGGAGCAAUUCGCUAUAAGAUGGACCCGCGUCGCAUUAGCUAGUAGGUGGGGUAACGGCUCACCUAGGCGACGAUCCCUAGCUGGUCUGAGAGGAUGACCAGCCACACUGGAACUGAGACACGGUCCAGACUCCUACGGGAGGGCAGCAUG
rnacentral:rRNA from 1 species